UCGCUUACCAAACGUACAUUUACUCACGCUGGUGUCUAGUGACACGAUGGGCAAAGAGUUUCAAAUACGUCUGCAGCGAUACAAUCGUUCUUCAGUCCCUUCACUCACGAAAGUGGGCACAUGGAGGAAGAAGAAUUCAAAUUACUCCCGAGUCUUUGCGUCUCUCUGCAAGGUGUCACUACAGUUACGUCAUCCAACCUUGGCAACAGCAGCUUCGGCCAUGAUGAGCAAAUCACACUCACAUCUCCAAUACAAGUUCACAGUCAGUUUUUAAAACUCGUCCUCUGUAUCUCUCAACCUUCAAGUUCAUGGAUCAAACUCAGUGGAUUCAACAUGUCCACUUUCGAAUAAACAACAUUCAGGGGAGAAGAAAUAUGUUUUAAGAGAACUGUAAAUUAGGAAUAAAGAAAAUUACUUAAAGACA